AGCGCAUACGGUGGAUGCCUUGGCAGUCAGAGGCGAUGAAAGACGUGGUAGCCUGCGAAAAGCUUCGGGGAGUCGGCAAACAGACUUUGAUCCGGAGAUGUCUGAAUGGGGGAACCCAGCCAUCAUAAGAUGGUUAUCUUACGCUGAAUACAUAGGCGUAAGAGGCGAACCAGGGGAACUGAAACAUCUAAGUACCCUGAGGAAAAGAAAUCAACCGAGAUUCCCUUAGUAGUGGCGAGCGAACGGGGACUAGCCCUUAAGUGGCUUUGAGAUUAGCGGAACGCUCUGGAAAGUGCGGCCAUAGUGGGUGAUAGCCCUGUACGCGAAAAUCUCUUAGUCAUGAAAUCGAGUAGGACGGAGCACGAGAAACUUUGUCUGAAUAUGGGGGGACCAUCCUCCAAGGCUAAAUACUACUGACUGACCGAUAGUGAACUAGUACCGUGAGGGAAAGGCGAAAAGAACCCCGGAGAGGGGAGUGAAAUAGAUCCUGAAACCGUAUGCGUACAAGCAGUGGGAGCCUACUUUGUUAGGUGACUGCGUACCUUUUGUAUAAUGGGUCAGCGACUUAUUUUCAGUGGCGAGCUUAACCGAAUAGGGGAGGCGUAGCGAAAGCGAGUCUUAAUAGGGCGUCUAGUCGCUGGGAAUAGACCCGAAACCGGGCGAUCUAUCCAUGGGCAGGUUGAAGGUUGGGUAACACUAACUGGAGGACCGAACCGACUACCGUUGAAAAGUUAGCGGAUGACCUGUGGAUCGGAGUGAAAGGCUAAUCAAGCUCGGAGAUAGCUGGUUCUCCUCGAAAGCUAUUUAGGUAGCGCCUCAUGUAUCACUGUAGGGGGUAGAGCACUGUUUCGGCUAGGGGGUCAUCCCGACUUACCAAACCGAUGCAAACUCCGAAUACCUACAAGUGCCGAGCAUGGGAGACACACGGCGGGUGCUAACGUCCGUCGUGAAAAGGGAAACAACCCAGACCGUCAGCUAAGGUCCCAAAGUUAUGGUUAAGUGGGAAACGAUGUGGGAAGGCUUAGACAGCUAGGAGGUUGGCUUAGAAGCAGCCACCCUUUAAAGAAAGCGUAAUAGCUCACUAGUCGAGUCGGCCUGCGCGGAAGAUGUAACGGGGCUCAAACCAUACACCGAAGCUACGGGUAUCACGUAAGUGAUGCGGUAGAGGAGCGUUCUGUAAGCCUGUGAAGGUGAGUUGAGAAGCUUGCUGGAGGUAUCAGAAGUGCGAAUGCUGACAUGAGUAACGACAAUGGGUGUGAAAAACACCCACGCCGAAAGACCAAGGUUUCCUGCGCAACGUUAAUCGACGCAGGGUUAGUCGGUCCCUAAGGCGAGGCUGAAAAGCGUAGUCGAUGGAAAACAGGUUAAUAUUCCUGUACUUCUGGUUAUUGCGAUGGAGGGACGGAGAAGGCUAGGCCAGCUUGGCGUUGGUUGUCCAAGUUUAAGGUGGUAGGCUGAGAUCUUAGGUAAAUCCGGGAUCUUAAGGCCGAGAGCUGAUGACGAGUGUUCUUUUAGAACACGAAGUGGUUGAUGCCAUGCUUCCAAGAAAAGCUUCUAAGCUUCAGGUAACCAGGAACCGUACCCCAAACCGACACAGGUGGUUGGGUAGAGAAUACCAAGGCGCUUGAGAGAACUCGGGUGAAGGAACUAGGCAAAAUGGCACCGUAACUUCGGGAGAAGGUGCGCCGGUGAGGGUGAAGGACUUGCUCCGUAAGCUCAUGCCGGUCGAAGAUACCAGGCCGCUGCGACUGUUUAUUAAAAACACAGCACUCUGCAAACACGAAAGUGGACGUAUAGGGUGUGACGCCUGCCCGGUGCCGGAAGGUUAAUUGAUGGGGUUAGCUAACGCGAAGCUCUUGAUCGAAGCCCCGGUAAACGGCGGCCGUAACUAUAACGGUCCUAAGGUAGCGAAAUUCCUUGUCGGGUAAGUUCCGACCUGCACGAAUGGCGUAACGAUGGCGGCGCUGUCUCCACCCGAGACUCAGUGAAAUUGAAAUCGCUGUGAAGAUGCAGUGUAUCCGCGGCUAGACGGAAAGACCCCGUGAACCUUUACUAUAGCUUUGCACUGGACUUUGAAUUUGCUUGUGUAGGAUAGGUGGGAGGCUUUGAAGCGUGGACGCCAGUCUGCGUGGAGCCAACCUUGAAAUACCACCCUGGCAACUUUGAGGUUCUAACUCAGGUCCGUUAUCCGGAUCGAGGACAGUGUAUGGUGGGUAGUUUGACUGGGGCGGUCUCCUCCUAAAGAGUAACGGAGGAGUACGAAGGUGCGCUCAGACCGGUCGGAAAUCGGUCGUAGAGUAUAAAGGCAAAAGCGCGCUUGACUGCGAGACAGACACGUCGAGCAGGUACGAAAGUAGGUCUUAGUGAUCCGGUGGUUCUGUAUGGAAGGGCCAUCGCUCAACGGAUAAAAGGUACUCCGGGGAUAACAGGCUGAUACCGCCCAAGAGUUCAUAUCGACGGCGGUGUUUGGCACCUCGAUGUCGGCUCAUCACAUCCUGGGGCUGAAGCCGGUCCCAAGGGUAUGGCUGUUCGCCAUUUAAAGUGGUACGCGAGCUGGGUUUAGAACGUCGUGAGACAGUUCGGUCCCUAUCUGCCGUGGACGUUUGAGAUUUGAGAGGGGCUGCUCCUAGUACGAGAGGACCGGAGUGGACGAACCUCUGGUGUUCCGGUUGUCACGCCAGUGGCAUUGCCGGGUAGCUAUGUUCGGAAUAGAUAACCGCUGAAAGCAUCUAAGCGGGAAACUAGCCUCAAGAUGAGAUCUCACUGGAACCUUGA
rnacentral:rRNA from 2 species